rnacentral:rRNA from 1 species
UAGGGAAUCUUCCACAAUGGACGAAAGUCUGAUGGAGCAACGCCGCGUGAGUGAUGAAGGGUUUCGGCUCGUAAAACUCUGUUGUUGGAGAAGAACAGGUGUGAGAGUAACUGUUCACAUCUUGACGGUAUCCAACCAGAAAGCCACGGCUAACUACGUGCCAGCAGCCGCGGUAAUACGUAGGUGGCAAGCGUUGUCCGGAUUUAUUGGGCGUAAAGCGAGCGCAGGCGGUUUCUUAGGUCUGAUGUGAAAGCCUUCGGCUUAACCG